rnacentral:rRNA from 1 species
UACGUAGGGUGCGAGCGUUAAUCGGAAUUACUGGGCGUAAAGCGUGCGCAGGCGGUUCGUUGUGUCCGUCGUGAAAGCCCCGGGCUUAACCUGGGAACUGCGAUGGAAACUAGCGAGCUGGAGUGUGGCAGAGGGGGGUGGAAUUCCGCGUGUAGCAGUGAAAUGCGUAGAGAUGCGGAGGAACACCGAUGGCGAAGGCAGCCCCCUGGGCUAACACUGACGCUCAGGCACGAAAGCGUGGGGAGCGAACAGG